GAGUUUGAUCCUGGCUCAGGACGAACGCUGGCGGCGUGCUUAACACAUGCAAGUCGAACGAAGCUUGAUGAUUGAUUUCUUCGGAAAGAAAUUUGAUAUGACUGAGUGGCGGACGGGUGAGUAACGCGUGAGCAACCUGCCCUUCAGAGGGGGAUAGCGUCUGGAAACGGACGGUAAUACCGCAUAACGUACAAAGGCCGCAUGACCAUUGUACCAAAACUGAGGUGCUGAAGGAUGGGCUCGCGUUGGAUUAGAUAGUUGGUGGGGUAACGGCCUACCAAGUCGACGAUCCAUAGCCGGACUGAGAGGUUGAACGGCCACAUUGGGACUGAGACACGGCCCAGACUCCUACGGGAGGCAGCAGUGGGGAAUAUUGGGCAAUGGGCGAAAGCCUGACCCAGCAACGCCGCGUGAAGGAAGAAGGUCUUCGGAUUGUAAACUUCUUUUAUCAGGGACGAAGUAAGUGACGGUACCUGAUGAAUAAGCCACGGCUAACUACGUGCCAGCAGCCGCGGUAAUUC
rnacentral:rRNA from 1 species